rnacentral:rRNA from 1 species
UGAGGAAUAUUGCACAAUGGGCGCAAGCCUGAUGCAGCAACGCCGCGUGAGGGACGAAGGCCUUCGGGUCGUAAACCUCUUUUCUGGGGGACGAGUAAGGACGGUACCUCAGGAAUAAGUCUCGGCUAACUACGUGCCAGCAGCCGCGGUAAAACGUAGGAGGCGAGCGUUAUCCGGAUUUACUGGGCGUAAAGCGUACGCAGGUGGCUUCGUGAGACGGACAUGAAAGCUCCCGGCUUAACUGGGAGAGGUUGUUCGAUACUGCGAGGCUUGAGGUUGGGAGAGGGACGUGGAAUUCCCGGUGUAGUGGUGGAAUGCGUAGAUAUCGGGAGGAACACCAGUGGCGCAAGCGGCGUCCUGGCCCACACCUGACGCUGAGGUACGAAAGCGUGGGUAGCAAA